rnacentral:rRNA from 1 species
GACGAACGCUGGCGGCGUGCCUAAUACAUGCAAGUCGAGCGAAGUUUUUCUGGUGCUUGCACUAGAAAAACUUAGCGGCGAACGGGUGAGUAACACGUAAAGAACCUGCCUCAUAGACUGGGACAACUAUUGGAAACGAUAGCUAAUACCGGAUAACAGUAUUUCUCGCAUGAGAGAUAUUUAAAAGUUGGUUAUGCUAACACUAUGAGAUGGCUUUGCGGUGCAUUAGCUAGUUGGUGGGGUAAAGGCCCACCAAGGCGACGAUGCAUAGCCGACCUGAGAGGGUGAUCGGCCACACUGGGACUGAGACACGGCCCAGACUCCUACGGGAGGCAGCAGUAGGGAGUCUUCCGCAAUGGGCGAAAGCCUGACGGAGCAACGCCGCGUGAGUGAAGAAGGAUUUCGGUUCGUAAAGCUCUGUUGUUAGGGAAGAAUGGAUAUGUAGUAACUAUACAUGUAAGAGACGGUACCUAACCAGAAAGCCACGGCUAACUACGUG